UUGUAGCAGUCAUUAGAAUGUAACAACAUAAUAAUGUUCUACCAUGGUAACAACAUUAGAAUUGGUACUAGUUCUUAGAAUGUAACAUUAUUUAGAGAGCUCCUUUCCAGAAAAGACUGUUCAUUUUUCUGUGCUUGGACCCCCCUAGUACAGUCCCUGGCACAUAAGAAAACCUCAAUCAAUCUUUAAUUGAGUCUUCCUUCCUAGGAGAAUCUGGAGCAACCAGGCUGGAGCUUGGGGUCCUCAUGAAAAGGAAGGGCACUGAAGGAAGCUGCUUAGGGAGCCCUGAGGCCAAAAGUCUUCUUCUUGACAGUUUCACUGAGGGCAGGCCAGCCAGAAGAAUGGGAGAAAAGCUAGUUGAGUGGAAACUCUGGGGAAACCAGAUCCAGAGCCUGAUCUCCUCACUGCAACAAGUGUCCUCUGAGGCCACUGAAGGUGAUAGCAACUGGAUUCUAGCAGCACCAGCAGUAGUAGCAGCACCAGCAGUAGAAGCAGCAGCAUCAAUAACACCAGCAGCAGCAGCAGUAGCAGGAAUAACAAUAACUGACAUUUAUGUAGAGCACUGCAAUUCACAAAGCAUUUGACACCCCCGUCUCUCACCUCAGCUUCACUGCCUGUCCAGGCCUCUGUUGUGGGAGGAUUCAACGGAAUCUGGCUCCUUUCAUGCUGCUCUGAGGUAAAGAAAAAAAGAAAGAAGGUGGCAAGAACAUAGAUAGAGAUGCCUUUGUGAUGGGUAGAUUCAAUUUGGCUGUCCCUGGUCCCCAUUGUUGCUACAGAUACUUGAGGAUUACAUAU